UCUCAGGGGAAAAAAAACCNGAUACAGGACA
rnacentral:piRNA from 1 species